rnacentral:rRNA from 1 species
UACAGAGGUCUCAAGCGUUGUUCGGAUUCAUUGGGCGUAAAGGGUGCGUAGGUGGCGCUGUAAGUCGGGUGUGAAAUUUCGGAGCUUAACUCCGAAACUGCAUUCGAUACUGCCGUGCUUGAGGACUGGAGAGGAGACUGGAAUUUACGGUGUAGCGGUGAAAUGCGUAGAUAUCGUAAGGAAGACCAGUGGCGAAGGCGGGUCUCUGGACAGUUCCUGACGCUGAGGCACGAAGGCCAGGGGAGCAAACGGG